AUUGAACGCUGGCGGCAGGCCUAACACAUGCAAGUCGAACGAGUGGCGGACGGGUGAGUAAUGUCUGGGAACCUGCCUGAUGGAGGGGGAUAACUACUGGAAACGGUCGCUAAUCCCGCAUACCAUCAGAUGUGCCCAGAUGGGAUUAGCUUGUGGGUGGGGUAACGGCUCACCAAGGGGACGCUCCCUAGCUGGUCUGAGAGGAUGACCAGCCACACUGGAACUGAGACACGGUCCAGACACCUACGGGAGGCAGCAGUGGGGAAGAUUGCACAAUGGGCGCAAGCCUGAUGCAGCCAUGCCGCGUGUAUGAAGAAGGCCUUCGGGUGGUAAAGUACUUUCAGAGGGGAGGCGUUACCCACAGAAGAAGCACCGGCUAACUCCGUGCCAGCAGCCGCGGUAAUUC
rnacentral:rRNA from 1 species